AUUCCAUCCCGAACUCAGAAGUGAAACGAAACAGCGUCGAUGGUAGUGUGGGGUUUCCCCAUGUGAGAGUAGAACAUCGCCAGGC
rnacentral:rRNA from 1 species